UCUCUCCAUUUCCAGAUAUCAUACAUGCAUUCAUUACAUCUUGAUUAGACUACUGUAACUCUUCAAAUGUUGGAUUGGAUCAGUCAUCCCUUCGUUGCUUACAGUUAGUCUAGAACGCA